rnacentral:rRNA from 1 species
GACGAACGCUGGCGGCGUGCUUAACACAUGCAAGUCGAACGGAAAGGCCCUGCUUUUGCGGGGUGCUCGAGUGGCGAACGGGUGAGUAACACGUGAGUAACCUGCCCUUGACUUUGGGAUAACUUCAGGAAACUGGGGCUCAUACCGGAUAGAAGCUCCUGCUGCAUGGUGGGGGUUGGAAAGUUUCGGCGGUUGGGGAUGGAAUCGCGGCUUAUCAGCUUGAUGGUGGGGUAGUGGCUUACCCAGCCUUCGACGGGUAGCCGGCCUGAGAGAGUGACCGGCCACAUUGGGACUGAGAUACGGCCCAGACUCCUACGGGAGGGAGCAGGGGGGAAGAUUGACCAAUGGGCGGAAGCCUGAUGCAGCAACGCCGCGUGCGGGAUGACGGCCUUAGGGUUGUAAACCGCUUUCGCCUGUGACGAAGCGUGAGUGACGGUAAUGGGUAAAGAAGCACCGGCUAACUACGUGC